AUGGCAGUGAUAAGAAGAAGAAUGUUUUUGAUUCUAAGAACUUGUUCAACUCAUUUCAGCACUAUUUCUAAUCACACCACAUCUCAUUACAGAAAACAAAUUUCACUUGCUAAUCUCUUCCAAACCUACGGUUUCCCUUCUUCAACCCUUCACAAUUUCCUCUCCAAAAACCACUUCCUCUUCAAUUCCGAUCCAUCCCAGCUUCGCAAAUCGUUAACCACCCUCUUUUCCUUCCAAAUUCCGCAGAAAACCCUAAUUUCUCUUGUUCAAGAUUGCCCUUCUGUGUUGGAACCUCAAUUUCUACAUAAUUGGGAAUUAGGUUUUCCCCAAUUGAAAUCCAAAGUUUGUAAUCCUUCUCCGUUGAUGAUUGCCAAUUUGUUGCGAUGCUCUAGAAGGUUCCAAUUAAAUCCUGUUGAAAUUUCUGAAAAAGUUGUGGUUUUUAGGGGUUUAGGGUUUUCUGAUGAUGUUGUGGUUAGGGUUUUGGAAGAAUUUCCCAGUGCGGUUGUAAUGAGCGAAAGUGAAAUUGUUGGUGUGAUUGAUUUUCUUGUGGAAUUUGGUGUUUCUAGAGAUGAAAUUGAUAGAGUUGUUAGAUUGUAUCCUAGGGUUUUGGGAUUUGGAGUUGAAAAUAGGUUGAAGCCAUUGAUUCAUGAGUUGAGGGAUUUGGGCUUUUUGCGACGUGAAGUUAGGGCAGAGGUUGUUAGGGAUCCGAGGAUUUUGGGAAUGGAAAUUGGGGAAUUUUCGCGGUGUUUGAAGUUGUUGCAGAGUUUGAAAUGCAGGGAGGCAAUUAAAGAGAGGAUUUUUGGAGAGGGUUUGGUUAGGGCUUGUUUUGAAGUGAAGCUGAGAGUCAAUUGUUUAUGCAGUCACGGUUUGAUUCGUAGGGAUGCUUUGAAGGUAUUGUGGAAGGAACCAAGGUUGAUGACUUAUGAUUUGGAGGAUAUUGAGAAGAAGAUUGAGUUUUUAGUUCAUAGAAUGCAAUAUGGUAUUGAUUGUUUGCAUGAAGUUCCUGAAUACUUGGGUGUGAAUUUUGAAAAGCAGAUUGUUCCUAGAUACAAUGUGAUCGAGUAUUUGAAUGGAAAGGGUGCAAUUGGGUUUGAAGUUGGAUUGAAGGACCUUAUCAAACCAACUAGGCUUAGAUUUUAUAACCUUUAUGUCAAGCCUUACCCUGAAUGUGAAAAAAUAUAUGGCAGAUUUUCAGGUAAGGUUGAAAUUAAAAGAAAGCAUCCUGCUGGACUUUGGAAGCUGUUCAAACCACAAAAGUUUACUCAAACCGAUGAAGAUGUGAAGAACAUGAAGACUUUCAUGGGUUAAAAGAAAGCAUCCUGCUGGACUUUGUGUUUUCAGAGGGUUCCAUUUCGAAAACAUUGCUGGAAAAAGAAAUGAAAUGCUGCGUUUCACUUGUUGUAGUUCUGUUCCAUGUUGCGCAAUGUCGUUAAUUGGGGAAACAGUUUCAAUUAUUUAGGUUGUCGCGUGCGUGUUCAUCCAAAACGGUUAAGAAUUCUGUUGCGGUAGGUUUAGUCCUGAUGGAAGGUUUGUUGCCACUGGAAGUGCAGAUACAUCAAUAAAGCUAUUUGAGGUUUCAAAAAUCAAGCAAAUGUUGCUCCCAGAUGCAAAGGAUGGUCCUGUGCGGUCUGUUGUAAAAACAUAUCAUGACCAUAUACAAGUAUAUUUGCACUUUUCCAAGUUCUAUUGAGUUUAUCAUGUGAAAUUGUUUCCUCUAUUGCAUAGUUUGAUGUUCCUGUAUGAUUUUUAACCAAAAAUUGUCUUCUGCAAUUAUUGUUGACAGUGACCUGGCUUCACGAUAGCUUUGAAUUUCUAAGGUGUCAAAUAGAUAAUUUUCCUGAGUUCGAAAAUAUUACAUAUUGUUAGUAUUCAUUUAAAAUCUAAUAAUAUCGGAAGUUUUAUGGUUACUGGAUUCAGAGACUUUUAGUUAGCAUACUGAAAAGCGGAGCGUCAGUUUACAAAUGACUAAAUUUUUGUGGGCUUUAUUCUUCAUCUAUAUUUCACCAGACCUGUGGAAGCUCAUAGUUCAAAAUUAUCGUUGUGGUGAUAAAUUUACAUUGCACAAAUAUAAUAUUUGUCUGUGCUGUUGUGGAGUUUGUUUUUACAUGUAUCACUUGCUCUAAUAUUGGCGAGGUUUGGCAGGUUUGUGUUUUUACAUAUCCUAUUAUGCUUUUCUGUGGUGAAAUGUAAAGCUUAUAAAAUGAUUCAGAGAAACUUUCCUCAUAUAUCGGGCUUUUCUUAUAUAUAUAUAUAUAUAUAUAUAUAUAUAUAUA